rnacentral:misc_RNA from 1 species
GAUGAAGAACGUAGCGAAAUGCGAUAAGUAGUGUGAAUUGCAGAAUUCAGUGAAUCAUCGAAUCUUUGAACGCACAUUGCGCCCCUUGGUAUCCCGAGGGGCAUGCCUGUUCGAGCGUCAUUUCACCACUCACGCCUGGCUUGGUGUUGGGCGACGUCCUCUUUGGGGACGCGCCUCGAAACGCUCGGCGGCGUGGCACCGGCUUUAAGCGUAGCAGAAUCUUUCGCUUUGGAAGUCGGGGCCCCGUCUGCCGGAAGACCUGCUCGCAAGGUUGACCUCGGAUCAGGCAGGGAUACCCGCUGAACUUAAGCAUAUCAAUAAGCGGAGGA